ensembl:lncRNA LINC01524 long intergenic non-protein coding RNA 1524
ACAAGGACUUCUAUGCCUGCAUAAAACAGGAAAGAGAUCUUCAUGUAAACAGAGUCCCUCUUAUUGGCUGAAGUGAAGAGUCAUUCUGAGGAGGAUCUGAAAAUGUAGAGGUGAGACGCUAAUGGCAGAGUGGCCUCAGCUUUCACCAGGUUUUGAAAACAUCUGUGAGGGAGGCACCAAAUUCACUGUCCUGCAGCUUUGACUUCCCAAUCCUCGUUGCCUCGUGCUGCCAGCCUGUAUGCUGGUAGAAGUGUGUUCCUGGGAACAUCCUGGCAUCUUGUGUUAGGACUACACUGGUGCAUGGGACAGAUCACGCUCAAGAAGGUCGAUGUAAUUUGAAAAACAGAUGGGCUCUGCUUUGUGAAAACUCCAAGCAUAUGAAGUCUAACUUGAAUAAAAGGCAUCUCAAGAUGAAGGUUUCCUAUUUGUGAUUAUGAAAAAAAUGUCAAGAACAAGUCCCUUGGUGUUCUUAGACCAAAGUCAGAACAACAGACCUAAACCAAUAGAGGAGCAUCCUACAAAAUAGCUGACCAGUCCUCAAAAUGAACAAGAUUUUCCAAAAUAAGGAAAGACUGAGAAACUGUCACAGUCAAGAAGAUCCUAAGGAGACGUGACUCCUAGAUUUAAUGUGGUCUCAUCAAUGGAACCCUAGAACACAAAAAGGACAUUAGGUAAAAAAAUAAGGAAGUCUAAGUAAAUUAUAGAUUUUAGUUUGUAACAAUGUAUUAAUAUUAUUUCAUUAAAUGUAACGUGGCACACUAAGAUGUUAGUAAGAGGAAAUACUGGAUGGAGGGUACAUGGGAAUUUUCUAAGAUAUCUUACAAUUUUUCUGUAAAUCUAAACUACUCUAUAAUUAAUAAAGUUGAUUUAAAGAAA